rnacentral:rRNA from 1 species
UACGUAGGGGGCGAGCGUUGUCCGGAUUUAUUGGGCGUAAAGAGCUCGUAGGCGGUUUGUCGCGUCUGCUGUGAAAACCUAAGGCUCAACCUUGGGCUUGCAGUGGGUACGGGCAGACUAGAGUGCGGUAGGGGUGACUGGAAUUCCUGGUGUAGCGGUGGAAUGCGCAGAUAUCAGGAGGAACACCGAUGGCGAAGGCAGGUCACUGGGCCGCAACUGACGCUGAGGAGCGAAAGCAUGGGGAGCGAACAGG